rnacentral:rRNA from 1 species
UACGUAGGGUGCGAGCGUUAAUCGGAAUUACUGGGCGUAAAGCGUGCGCAGGCGGCUUCUCAAGUCAGGGGUGAAAGCCCAGAGCUCAACUCUGGAAUUGCCUUUGAGACUGAGAGGCUUGAGUACGGGAGAGGUGAGUGGAAUUCCCAGUGUAGAGGUGAAAUUCGUGGAUAUUGGGAAGAACACCAGUGGCGAAGGCGGCUCACUGGCCCGGUACUGACGCUGAGGUGCGAAAGCGUGGGGAGCAAACAGG